GUAAUGACCAUUGGUGGGUAAAGCAUCAGGGCCAAAACUAGACAUUUAUAUAUCUUAUUACUUAAUAUAUAAAUGUCUAGUUUUGGCCCUGGUGCUUUACCCACUAAUGGUCAUU
rnacentral:pre_miRNA from 1 species